rnacentral:rRNA from 1 species
UACAGAGGUCCCAAGCGUUGUUCGGAUUCACUGGGCGUAAAGGGUGCGUAGGUGGCAUGUUAAGUUUGAUGUGAAAGCUCAGGGCUCAACCCUGAAAUGGCAUUGAAUACUAGCGUGCUGGAGGUUUGGAGGGGGGACUGGAAUUCUUGGUGUAGCAGUGAAAUGCGUAGAUAUCAAGAGGAACACCAGUGGCGAAGGCGAGUCCCUGGACAACACCUGACACUGAGGCACGAAAGCUAGGGGAGCAAACAGG